rnacentral:rRNA from 1 species
CCCGCUGAACUUAAGCAUAUCAGUAAGCGGAGGAAAAGAAACUAACUAGGAUUCCCUUAGUAACGGCGAGUGAACCGGGAAGAGCUCAAAUUUUAAAUCUGGGAGCCUUGCUCUCCGAAUUGUAGUUUAAAGACAUUUGCCAUUGGGCGCUGCUGGCCGUGCAAGUCUCCUGGAAUGGGGCGUCACAGAGGGUGAGAAUCCCGUUUGGACGGUCGGCAGUGUUCCGCGGCGCUUGUCAAAGAGUCGAGUUGUUUGGGAAUGCAACUCAAAAUGGGUGGUAAAUUUCAUCUAAAGCUAAAUAUAGGCAAGAGACCGAUAGCAAACAAGUACCGUGAGGGAAAGAUGAAAAGCACCUUGAAAAGGGGGUUAAAUAGUGCGUGAAAUUGUUAAAAGGGAAACGAUUGGAACCAGUAUUUUCGCAAGAAAAGUCAGCGUCGGCUGCGAGCCCGCGACCAGGCCCUCUGGAAGAUGACGCUGCUUGCAGCGUUUUACAGACUGAGGGACCCAGGCGGGCCGUCUUCCGAUCAAGUGCGCUGUACGCAGUGGUGUGGUCAGACCCGGGGUGUUUGAAGCUGUGCACGCACAGCCCGUCCGCCCCGGGGCCGCCGCCGCCACUGCAUGCGCACGCGCUGGUGAGGUGGUUCUAAACGACCCGUCUUGAAACACGG